GGCCGCGGGAAUUCCAUUCAGGCCUAACACAUGCAAGUCGAGCGGUAGAGAGAACCUUGCUUCUCUUGAGAGCGGCGGACGGGUGAGUAAUGCCUAGGAAUCUGCCUGGUAGUGGGGGAUAACGUUCCGAAACGGACGCUAAUACCGCAUACGUCCUACGGGAGAAAGCAGGGGACCUUCGGGCCUUGCGCUAUCAGAUGAGCCUAGGUCGGAUUAGCUAGUUGGUGAGGUAAUGGCUCACCAAGGCUACGAUCCGUAACUGGUCUGAGAGGAUGAUCAGUCACACUGGAACUGAGACACGGUCCAGACUCCUACGGGAGGCAGCAGUGGGGAAUAUUGGACAAUGGGCGAAAGCCUGAUCCAGCCAUGCCGCGUGUGUGAAGAAGGUCUUCGGAUUGUAAAGCACUUUAAGUUGGGAGGAAGGGCAUUAACCUAAUACGUUAGUGUCUUGACGUUACCGACAGAAUAAGCACCGGCUAACUCUGUGCCAGCAGCCGCGGUAAUACAGAGGGUGCAAGCGUUAAUCGGAAUUACUGGGCGUAAAGCGCGCGUAGGUGGUUUGUUAAGUUGGAUGUGAAAUCCCCGGGCUCAACCUGGGAACUGCAUUCAAAACUGACUGACUAGAGUAUGGUAGAGGGUGGUGGAAUUUCCUGUGUAGCGGUGAAAUGCGUAUAUAUAGGAAGGAACACCAGUGGCGAAGGCGACCACCUGGACUAAUACUGACACUGAGGUGCGAAAGCGUGGGGAGCAAA
rnacentral:rRNA from 1 species